UACGAAGGGUGCAAGCGUUACUCGGAAUUACUGGGCGUAAAGCGUGCGUAGGCGGUUUGUUAAGUCCGCUGUGAAAGCCCUGGGCUCAACCUGGGAAUGCAGUGGAUACUGGCAAGCUAGAGUGCGGUAGAGGAUGGUGGAAUUCCCGGUGUAGCGGUGAAAUGCGUAGAGAUCGGGGAGGAACACCCGUGGCGAAGGCGGCCAUCUGGACCAGCACUGACGCUGAGGCACGGAAAGCGUGGGGAGCAAACAGG
rnacentral:rRNA from 1 species